UUUUUCUAAAAUACAAAAUAUAGCUUUAUUUAUUUAUUGUAUGUACAUACAAAGUAUUUGUUUUAAAACUCAAGUUUCUUAAAUACAGCAAAUAAUGGUUAAGACAAGUAAACCUUGGUUUCACACUGUAACUCACUAGUGCAUUCAAUUUCCCACCCUGGCAAGAUAAAGCCAAAAAGGUUGAGUCACAAGAGACAUGGAAAAAAAAAAACGUCAGGCGUGUUUACAAUGGAAAAAAAAAUCUCCUCUUUCCUUCUACUGAAAAGUGUUCUCUAAAUUCUUAUGCUGCUUCAAGCUAUGGAAAUAGAUUCUGUAAUAUUUUGAUCAAAUUCAUGAGAAACAUGACCUCCACCAGACUUUAAGGGGGUCUGUUCAGUAAAAUAGUUAAUUGAAAACAUAAUUGCAAAAAUGGAUAACAGGUGGAAAAAUGGUUCCAUGCAAUUACCAGGUCACAAAAAAAAUCACUAUUUAGUGGACAUCCUUCUUUAUAGUGACUUGAAUUAAAAAGAAGUCAAUUGUGGUUAAAGGACCACUCUAGGCACCCAGACCACUUCAGCUUAAUGAAGUGGUCUGGGUGCCAGGUCCAGCUAGGGUUAACCCUUUUUUUCAUAAACAUAGCAGUUUCAGAGAAACUGCUAUGUUUAUGAAUGGGUUAAGCCUUCCCCUAUUUCCUCUAGCGGCCGUCUCAUUGACAGCCGCUAGAGGCGCUUGCGUGCUUCUCACUGUGAUUUUCACAGUGAGAGCACGCCAGCGUCCAUAGGAAAGCAUUAUGAAUGCUUUCCUAUGUGACCGGCUGAAUGCGCGCGCAGCACUUGCCGCGCGUGCGCAUUCAGCCGACGGGGAGGAACGGAGGAGGAUCGGAGGAGGAGAGCUCCCCGCCCAGCGCAGGAAAAAGGUAAGAUUUAACCCCUUUCCCCUUUCCAGAGCCGGGCGGGAGGGGGUCCCUGAGGGUGGGGGCACCCUCAGGGCACUAUAGUGCCAGGAAAAUGAGAAUGUUUUCCAGGCACUAUAGUGGUACUUUAAUUACCUCUUUUUUAAAGUUAGGUAGAAAAGUAUUACUUUUUCAAGGUUAAGAGCAGAUUGAGCAUAUCACUUUAGCAAGUACUAAAAUUAGUAAAAGCAGAACAUUUCUAAUUACUGUGAUUUCAGAUCACCAAGAACACUAACAAGAUGAACUAAUGCAAAUUUUAACUCUGUUAUUGGCAAUAGCAUUUUUGUAUUCCUUUUCCCCAUGUUUAAAAACCUUAAAAAAUGGUUCACAAGAUCCAGAGUUCAGAUUGUUAUACUGUCAGUGUAUUAAAUAAACAAUCCAUGCAUCAUAACUUUUAGCCUGCUGGAGUGGUUAUGGUGCCAGAAGUGCCCACAGUAAGUUGUCAAACUGUUUAAGGAUGUUUUCAGAAUUUACUUAAAGGACCACUAUAGGCACCCAGACCACUUCAGCUCAAUGAAGUGGUCUGGGUGCCAGGUCCAUCUAGAGUUAACCCUGCAGCUGUAAACAUAGUAGUUUCAGAGAAACUGCUAUGUUUACAUUAGGGUUAAUCCAGCCUCUAGUGGCUGUCUCAUUGACAGCCGCUACAGGUGCUUCCGCGCUUCUCACUGUGAAAAUCACAGUGAGAAGAAGCUGACGUCCAUAGGAAAGCAUUUCUCAAUUCAGCGAUGAUGUCGGAAGAGGGAGGAGAUUUCCCCAGUGCCGUAGAAAGGUAAGUGAGUAACCCCUUCCUCCCCCUUCAGCCCGGCGGGAGUGGGACCGUGAAGGUGGUGGGGACCUAAAGACCCCAUAGUGCCAGGAAAACAAGUUUGUUUUCCUGGCACUGUAGAGGUCCUUUUAGGCCAUUGAGAUGCCUGCUGUCAGUUACUCUACAGGCAGAAACUCCUACACUGAGGUGGUGCAGGACAGCACUCAUUGGCUAAAGAGGGCACAUCUGACACUCUCAGCCAAUGAACUGGCCCGACACUACAGGGCUUAGCUCAGUGAAGCUAAUGAAAGCUGCUUGUAGGAGCUUCAGGCUCCAUGGGAGGCAGUGAUGUUUGCCUGUGAUUGAGUUUCUAUGUGUAGAAGCCUGAGGCUGAGUGAGUAAUCUGUCAAGCCAUUCUUAAUCAGUGUAACUACUUAUUUAACUACUUAUUUUGGAAGAGCGCUAGGACUCUUGGCACCAUAAAUAGCAGCAGACUAUAGUUUUUAUGAUACAGUAGUACCUUCAGGGUAGUAUGUUCAGGAACUGGUUCACUGUAAUAUGGCUUUAGUUGGUAGUAUAAUAAUUAUAUCCGUUUC
rnacentral:lncRNA from 1 species